CAAUAGCGUAUAUUAAAGUUGUUGCAGUUAAAAAGCUCGUAGUUGGAUUUGUGGCUGUCACGGGCGGCCUAUCACUUAGUGUUAGUGCUUGCCCGUGUCGCCAUCCUUGGGUGGAGCCCGUGUGGCAUUAGGUUGUCGUGCGGGGGAUGCCCAUCGUUUACUGUGAGAAAAUUAGAGUGUUCAAAGCAGGCUUAUGCCGUUGAAUAUGUUAGCAUGGAAUAAUAAGAUAGGACCUCGGUACUAUUUUGUUGGUUUGCGCACCGAGGUAAUGAUUAAUAGGGACAGUUGGGGGUAUUCGUAUUUCAUUGUCAGAGGUGAAAUUCUUGGAUUUCUGAAAGACGAACUACUGCGAAAGCAUUUACCAAGGAUGUUUUCAUUAA
rnacentral:rRNA from 1 species